AGCGAACGCUGGCGGCAGGCCUAACACAUGCAAGUCGAACGAACCUUUCGGGGUUAGUGGCGGACGGGUGAGUAACACGUGGGAACGUGCCUUUAGGUUCGGAAUAACUCAGGGAAACUUGUGCUAAUACCGAAUGUGCCCUUCGGGGGAAAGAUUAAUCGCCUUUAGAGCGGCCCGCGUCUGAUUAGCUAGUUGGUUGAGGUAAUGGCUCACCAAGGCGACGAUCAGUAGCUGGUCUGAGAGGAUGAUCAGCCACAUUGGGACUGAGACACGGCCCAAACUCCUACGGGAGGCAGCAGUGGGGAAUCUUGCGCAAUGGGCGAAAGCCUGACGCAGCCAUGCCGCGUGAGGGAUGACGGCCUUCGGGUUGUAAACCUCUUUUAGUAGGGAAGAAGCGCAAGUGACGGUACCUGCAGAAAAAGCACCGGCUAACUACGUG
rnacentral:rRNA from 1 species